AAAGGGAGACCUAAUUCAGGUAUAAGACGAAAAAAAAGUAGUCCCUACCAAGAAUCAAUCCCAAAAGGUCGGAACGAGGUAUGAGGCUUUCAAACUAGGUUCUGGGUUCAUAAAAGACCUGAAUCAGGAACAAGGGCUAUUAGCUCAGGUGGUUAGAGCGCACCCCUGAUAAGGGUGAGGUCCCUGGUUCGAGUCCAGGAUGGCCCACCUGCACAGGUGGCAAAAACAAGAGAAGCGAGGAAUCAGCACCUUAUCUUACUGACAUAGUAAGAGAGAAUGCUGGCUCUGAGUACAGAGUCCAGAGGAACCUUGAAAACUGCAUAGAGCUAGGUGAAAAAGCCAAAAAAGAAGACCGCAAG
rnacentral:tRNA from 1 species